UUUGUUUGUUAAAGAAGAACAUAUUUUGAGAGUAACUGUUCAGGUAUUGACGGUAUUUAACCAGAAAGCCCCGGCUAACUACGUGCCAGCAGCCGCGGUAAUACGUAGGUGGCAAGCGUUGUCCGGAUUUAUUGGGCGUAAAGCGAGCGCAGGCGGUUUUUUAAGUCUGAUGUGAAAGCCUUCGGCUCAACCGAAGAAGUGCAUCGGAAACUGGGAAACUUGAGUGCAGAAGAGGACAGUGGAACUCCAUGUGUAGCGGUGAAAUGCGUAGAUAUAUGGAAGAACACCAGUGGCGAAGGCGGCUGUCUGGUCUGUAACUGACGCUGAGGCUCGAAAGUAUGGGUAGCAAACAGGAUUAGAUACCCUGGUAGUCCAUACCGUAAACGAUGAAUGCUAAGUGUUGGAGGGUUUCCGCCCUUCAGUGCUGCAGCUAACGCAUUAAGCAUUCCGCCUGGGGAGUACGGCCGCAAGGCUGAAACUCAAAGGAAUUGACGGGGGCCCGCACAAGCGGUGGAGCAUGUGGUUUAAUUCGAAGCUACGCGAAGAACCUUACCAGGUCUUGACAUACUAUGCAAAUCUAAGAGAUUAGACGUUCCCUUCGGGGACAUGGAUACAGGUGGUGCAUGGUUGUCGUCAGCUCGUGUCGUGAGAUGUUGGGUUAAGUCCCGCAACGAGCGCAACCCUUAUUAUCAGUUGCCAGCAUUAAGUUGGGCACUCUGGUGAGACUGCCGGUGACAAACCGGAGGAAGGUGGGGAUGACGUCAAAUCAUCAUGCCCCUUAUGACCUGGGCUACACACGUGCUACAAUGGAUGGUACAACGAGUUGCGAACUCGCGAGAGUAAGCUAAUCUCUUAAAGCCAUUCUCAGUUCGGAUUGUAGGCUGCAACUCGCCUACAUGAAGUCGGAAUCGCUAGUAAUCGCGGAUCAGCAUGCCGCGGUGAAUACGUUCCCGGGCCUUGUACACACCGCCCGUCACACCAUGAGAGUUUGUAACACCCAAAGUCGGUGGGGUAACCUUUUAGGACCAGCCGCCUAAGUGACAGAGAUGU
rnacentral:rRNA from 1 species